GGAGCAGGUUGGGCAGUCGCUUGCGUCAAGCAAGAGGAAAGUCCGAACAUCAAAGGGCAACGAGCCGGAUAACUUCCGGGCGUUCGAAAGAUCGGACGACGACAAGUGCAACAGAAAGCAAACCAGCCUUGAAAAAGGUGAUGGGUGAAAUGGUGAGGUAAGAGCUCACCGGCGCGUGUGGUAACAUGCGCGGCCGGGUAAACUCCUCGUGGUGCAAGACCAAAUAGGGAAACGCGAAUUUGAACUGCCCGUUCAAGCGCCGAUGCUGAUCGGCAGCGUUUCCGGGUAGGUCGCUCGAGCCGUUCGGUAACGAACGGCCUGGAUGAAUGAUUGCCGCCCGCCUGGCGGGUACAAAAUUCGGCUUAUAGGCCUGCUCCAAUG
rnacentral:RNase_P_RNA from 2 species